GUGCUUGCUUCAGCAGUACAUAUAUUAAAAUUAGAACAAUACAGAGAAGAUUAACAGAUACCUGCACAAGGAUGACACAAAAUCUAGGAAGGUUCUUUUUUUUUUC